CAUGAAGCUGGAAUCGCUAGUAAUCGCGGAUCAGAAUGCUGCGGUGAAUACGUUCCCGGGUCUUGUACACACCGCCCGUCACACCAUGGGAGCCAGGAAUGCCCGAAGCCAGUGGCCUAACCGCAAGGGAGGAGCUGUCGAAGGCAGGCCCGGUAACUGGGGUGAAGUCGUAACAAGGUACC
rnacentral:rRNA from 1 species